GUGACUGCGUACCUUUUGUAUAAUGGGUCAGCGACUUAUAUUCUGUAGCAAGGUUAACCGUAUAGGGGAGCCGAAGGGAAACCGAGUCUUAACUGGGCGUUAAGUUGCAGGGUAUAGACCCGAAACCCGGUGAUCUAGCCAUGGGCAGGUUGAAGGUUGGGUAACACUAACUGGAGGACCGAACCGACUAAUGUUGAAAAAUUAGCGGAUGACCUGUGGCUGGGGGUGAAAGGCCAAUCAAACCGGGAGAUAGCUGGUUCUCCCCGAAAGCUAUUUAGGUAGCGCCUCGUGAACUCAUCUUCGGGGGUAGAGCACUGUUUCGGCUAGGGGGCCAUCCCGGCUUACCAACCCGAUGCAAACUACGAAUACCGAAGAAUGUUAUCACGGGAGACACACGGCGGGUGCUAACGUCCGUCGUGAAGAGGGAAACAACCCAGACCGCCAGCUAAGGUCCCAAAGUCAUGGUUAAGUGGGAAACGAUGUGGGAAGGCACAGACAGCCAGGAUGUUGGCUUAGAAGCAGCCAUCAUUUAAAGAAAGCGUAAUAGCUCACUGGUCGAGUCGGCCUGCGCGGAAGAUGUAACGGGGCUAAACCAUGCACCGAAGCUGCGGCAGCGAC
rnacentral:rRNA from 1 species